UCCGGUAGAGAUAGCGAGGGAGUCACACCCGAUCCCAUCCCGAACUCGGAAGUUAAGCCCCUUAGCGCCGAUGAUACUGCGUCUUAAGACGUGGGAAAGUAGGACACCGCCGGAA
rfam:Magnetococcus sp. MC-1, complete genome.